rnacentral:rRNA from 1 species
GAGUUUGAUCCUGGCUCAGGACGAACGCUGGCGGCGUGCUUAACACAUGCAAGUCGAGCGAGGAACUUCGGUUCCUAGCGGCGGACGGGUGAGUAACACGUGGGCAACCUACCUCACAAUGGGGGAUAGCCUUCCGAAAGGAAGAUUAAUACCCCAUAACACAAAGGAAACGCAUGUUUCUUUUGCCAAAGAAUUUCGUUGUGAGAUGGGCCCGCGGCGCAUUAGCUUGUUGGUGAGGUAACGGCUCACCAAGGCGACGAUGCGUAGCCGACCUGAGAGGGUGAUCGGCCACAUUGGAACUGAGACACGGUCCAGACUCCUACGGAAGGCAGCAGUGGGGAAUAUUGCACAAUGGAGGAAACUCUGAUGCAGCAACGCCGCGUGAGUGAUGAAGGUCUUCGGAUUGUAAAGCUCUGUCUUCUGGGACGAUAAUGACGGUACCAGAGGAGGAAGCCACGGCUAACUACGUGCCAGCAGCCGCGGUAAUACGUAGGUGGCAAGCGUUGUCCGGAUUUACUGGGCGUAAAGGAUGUGUAGGCGGAUAUUUAAGUGAGAUGUGAAAUCCCCGGGCUCAACUUGGGGGCUGCAUUUCAAACUGGAUAUCUAGAGUGCAGGAGAGGAAAGCGGAAUUCCUAGUGUAGCGGUGAAAUGCGUAGAGAUUAGGAAGAACAUCAGUGGCGAAGGCGGCUUUCUGGACUGUAACUGACGCUGANGCAUGAAAGCGUGGGGA